GAGCAGAAUUAAAAAAAAUUUGGAAUGUUUCAUCUCUCAGACGUGCAUGUAUAUGCGUUUGUAUUUCUUUUAAUUUUUUAUUUAAAAUUGAUUAAAUAUUUUUAAGGUAAGAUUACGUAAUUUAGAUCCUAAUUAUUUUUGAAAAAGCCUUGCAUGCCACAUAUAAAUUUGGAAUUAUUGUCAUUUAUAAAUGAAUUUCAACUUUUCCUAUUUUGAAUUAACCAUUACAAUAUUUUAUUACAUAUCUG
rnacentral:misc_RNA from 1 species